GAUGAACGCUGACAGAAUGCUUAACACAUGCAAGUCAACUUGAAUUUGGGUUUUUACCUUAGGUUUGGGUGGCGGACGGGUGAGUAACGCGUAAAGAACUUGCCUCACAGCUAGGGACAACAUUUGGAAACGAAUGCUAAUACCUAAUAUUAUGAUAAUAGGGCAUCCUAUAAUUAUGAAAGCUAUAAGCGCUGUGAGAGAGCUUUGCGUCCCAUUAGCUAGUUGGAGAGGUAACGGCUCACCAAGGCGAUGAUGGGUAGCCGGCCUGAGAGGGUGAUCGGCCACAAGGGGACUGAGACACGGCCCUUACUCCUACGGGGGGCAGCAGUGGGGAAUAUUGGACAAUGGACCGAGAGUCUGAUCCAGCAAUUCUGUGUGCACGAUGAAGUUUUUCGGAAUGUAAAGUGCUUUCAGUUGGGAAGAAACAAAUGACGGUACCAACAGAAGAAGUGACGGCUAAAUACGUG
rnacentral:rRNA from 1 species